UAAUGCUAGGCAUCAAUUAAGUGACAAUGAAAAUGCUACAUAGAGACAGUAUACUUAUAUGUCAAUUAAAAAUGUGUUGUCUAUGCUAUGUACAUGUAUGUACAAAAUGAGAUAUAAGAAAGGCAUUUUAUGUACAGCGUACUGAAUCUGAUUUCCCUGAGUAUUGAUACCCAAACAAAAAAAUAAUUUAACAAACAACUAAUUCUAUAUCAAUUCUAUACUAAUUCUAUACUGUUUAGUAUACUAUUACAGUAUAGAAUUAGUAUAGCAUUGUAUUGUAUACUAUUUGACCGUCAAUAGUAUACUCUCUCAUAAACAAUGGCGGGUAUACCAUUAGUAUACUAUUAUACAUUGUACCCUGCUUGUGUAUAUCAUUAGUAUACCAUUAUACUUUGUAAAAUAUUGAGUAUACCAUUAGUAUACCAUUAUACUUUAUCCUGCAAGACUUUAGAAGAAUCUGAUCUUUUUCAUACAUAUCCAUGGUAGAUUAUGUCACGGGAACAAUUGUAGAAAUAAACAAUUAUUUUUGGUCAUCUCUGCUUUGUUUUAUUACAGACAGAAAUUUACAGCCUUCUGUAAUUAAGGGGUUGCUAGGAUAUUUAUUAUUAAUGUGGGGUCUGAGUGCAUUCUCUAAUAAGUUUUAUAAGGAUUAAGAUGUUAAACUGUGGUGAUUCAAAUGGUUUUUAAAGAAAACUCAUGCAGGUUUGAUUUAUUAUCUUUUUAAAAUUGUUAUUAUUAAUCUUCUAAUUAAUGCAACAGUUUUUGUUGUUGUUGUUGUUUUAGAUUCAUGCAUCUUUCUUAUUUUCUUACAGCAGUAAAUUUUGGAAACAUUUACAGCAAUGAAUUUUCAUAAGAUAUUUUUCAAUCAAAGAAGUAUAAAAUACAUUUUUUUAAUAUUAACUAUGUUUAAAUGUACAAGCUGCAGAUCUCGAAAUUUGACACCAGCUGACGUCGAGGUAAACACCCCGGAUACCUGUAGGUUGUAGCCUAAACCUGCAUGGGAAGAAGAUUGUUCCAGCCGAAACAUUUUCAUGUAAAAGCAUCAAAUUACACUAAAUCAAAACAAAAUAUUUAUGUUUGAAAGGCUAAUAAAAUUAUUUACAAUAUGUAUUUUAUUUGUUCUUUUAUUGCCUUAUUACCGGAUUUAUAAUCUUGUUAUCUAGCAGGAAAUUGCGAGUACACAUGUACGCUUGCAGAAUGACUGGUAAUAAAGUAUAAACAAUCGAGCUAUAAAUGUUAAUGACUUCUUAUCCAAUCAGAAAGGGGGAAUUUGAAUGCCUUAUAACUUGUGGCAAUACAACACUUCUGCGCAAAGAAGUAGUCCCCCUAAGUGUCACCUGUUUUUCUAAAAAAUACGAAAUUUUCAGACAUGCCUCACAUAUCAAUGCAAAAUAUACUUUCUUAAUUUUAAUUUAGUUCAAAACUUUUGUUUUGGAAACACUAUUUACCGGGUCGCAUCUGUUUCUGAAAAUAGCAACUUUCGGAAAAACCCAUAGGUCGCGCACGUUUUCAGGUCGGCCGCCAUUUUGAAAUUUGUGAAAACAAUAGGAUACACAAUAUCGUCAAAAAUCAAUAUAACUGUUGAUUCAAAAGCUUGGAAACGAUUAAAAAUGAAAUGAUUGUUUAAUCAUAACAUGUGAUGAGACUGAUCAUCGAUAAGUGACCUGAUGGCCGACCGGACAAUAAAUUAUCAAGUGCUGGUUUCAUAUUGGAGGAGAUGAUUGCAUGUACGGGCAUUGGGCUGGGAAAAUCAAACCCUGGCGAUUAAAGACCGACUACCCUAAAACCCGAUGAAUGUGGAAGACCUGAAAGACUAUGUGACAAUGUGGUGUAAAAAGAAGUAUGGUGCAGCAAACUGAUGCUAGGCGGAAUCUGGCAAUAACAGAAAGAAUUGGAUAUAUGUCAAUAAGUUUGCCAAAAAAAAAGAACAAAUAUUCAGUGAAAAUGACUUCAGUGUAUACUUCUCUAGUGUUAAAUGGCAGUUGCAUUUAAUGGAAUAAUUCUUAUUUUGAAUUUUAUAUAUAUUUAGCAGAUUAGAAAGCUUCAAAGGUAUUUCUAUCAUUCGUUUCUAUUUGUCAUGUAAAAUCAUAUUCAUGUUAUUAUUUUGAAUUCUGUGAAUUAAAUAAUUUACAAAGAAUUCUCUGCUAUUUAUCAUCUUUUUAUGUUUUGAGCUGAAUACUUAAAGUGGCCUUUUUACUACUGUGAAAUAACCUAUUAACAGUAUACAAUUAGUAUAGUAUUAAGAGUAUACAACUGGUAUAGUAUUUGCAGUAUACAAUUAGUAUACUAUUAACAGUAUAUAAUUAGUAUACUAUUAACGGUAUAUAUUUAGUAUACUAUUGACCAUCCGUGGCAAUCAAUUUGCAUAUCAUUACACAGUUUGAUUAGUAAUAGUAUCUUGAUAGUAGUUUGUUAUAGUAUACUAUUAGCUCAUUUGCAUGUGAAAUUUUUACUAAUUCUAUACUGAUGGUAUACUGUAUAUGAUUAGU
rnacentral:lncRNA from 1 species